rnacentral:misc_RNA from 1 species
GAUGAAGAACGUAGCGAAAUGCGAUAAGUAAUGUGAAUUGCAGAAUUCAGUGAAUCAUCGAAUCUUUGAACGCACAUUGCGCCCGCCAGUAUUCUGGCGGGCAUGCCUGUUCGAGCGUCAUUUCAACCAUCAAGCCCUGCUUGCGUUGGGGUCCUGCGGCUGCCCGCAGGCCCUGAAAACCAGUGGCGGGCUCGCUAGUCACACCGAGCGCAGUAAUACAUCUCGCUUUGGGCGUGCGGCGGGUUCUUGCCGUUAUACACCCCCUUUUUACCAAGGUUGACCUCGGAUCAGGUAGGAAUACCCGCUGAACUUAAGCAUAUCAAUAAGCGGAGGA